rnacentral:misc_RNA from 1 species
GAUGAAGAACGCAGCGAAAUGCGAUACGUAAUGUGAAUUGCAGAAUUCAGUGAAUCAUCGAGUCUUUGAACGCACAUUGCGCCCUCUGGUAUUCCGGAGGGCAUGCCUGUCCGAGCGUCAUUGCUGCCCUCAAGCACGGCUUGUGUGUUGGGCCCCGCCCCCCGAUCCCGGGGGGCGGGCCCGAAAGGCAGCGGCGGCACCGCGUCCGGUCCUCGAGCGUAUGGGGCUUUGUCACCCGCUCUGUAGGCCCGGCCGGCGCUUGCCGAUCAACCAAACUUUUUUCCAGGUUGACCUCGGAUCAGGUAGGGGUACCCGCUGAACUUAAGCAUAUCAAAAGCGGAGGA